UAUAGCUCAGUGGUAGAGCGUGUUUUUAGCAUGCACAAGGUUCUGGGUUCAGUCCCCAGUA
rnacentral:tRNA from 1 species